rnacentral:rRNA from 1 species
GAUCAUGGCUCAGGAUGAACGCUAGCGGCAGGCUUAACACAUGCAAGUCGAGGGGCAGCACGAGGUAGCAAUACUUUGGUGGCGACCGGCGCACGGGUGCGUAACGCGUAUGCAACCUACCUUUAACAGGGGCAUAGCACUGAGAAAUUGGUACUAAUUCCCCAUAACAUUCGAGAAGGCAUCCUCUUGGGUUAAAAACUCCGGUGGUUAAAGAUGGGCAUGCGUUGUAUUAGCUAGUUGGUGAGG